GUUUUUUUAAUAAAGAGUUUGGCCUGCUCGGUGAUUUUAUUUAACAGCUGCGGUAUUAUAACUGUACUAAGGUAGCAUAAUAAUUUGCCUUAUAAAUUGGGGCUAGAAUGAAUGGUUUGACGAGAAUUAAGCUGUCUCUAUUUCAUUUAUUAGAAAUUAAUUUUUAUAGUGAGAAAGCUUAAAUGGUUUAAAGGGACGAAAAGACCCUAUUGAGCUUAAUGUUAUUAUAUAAAUUUAUUUUGUUAGUUUAUAUUUAAAUUGAUGAUAAUUUUUAUUGUAGGUUUGUUAUUAACUUAACUUUGGUUGGGGUGAUCAAGGAAUAAAAUUAUUUAAUUUUAACUUCCUUAAAUGUCAAUUUUUAUAGAGUAAUAAACCAAAUUUUUUGCUUAGAAGAUAAGUUACCAUAGGGAUAACAGCGUAAUUUUUUUUGAGAGUUCAUAUUGAAAAAAGAGAUUGCGACCUCGAUGUUGGAUUAAAAUUAACCUUAAGGUGUAGAGGCUUUAUUAGGUGAAUCUGUUCGAUUUUUAAAA
rnacentral:rRNA from 1 species